CAGAACAUCACAAGGGAAAGACAAGUUAAAUGAUUUUACAGGGGUUUAAUGGAAUAAUCUACAUUAGUAAAGCUCAGUUUUAUCAAUUACGAUAAAAAGUCGAUUUUUUAGUUACAGAUUUCAUUGUUGUGUGAGAGAGUGCAUGGAUUAACUGAUGUGAACAUCUGCUUAUGGUGAGUAUGACACCGCUAUUUGUCAACUGAUAAUUGAAGCUAUGAGGCUAAGCUAGAUGAAAAUGCAUUUAUUUAAUAUUUGAAGCAAUUUAAUGAUUUUGUGCAGCAGCUUUUAGUGUAUAAGAAGCAAUUCAAGACUCCUUGAAAAUUAGCAGCAGGAAACUACUGGAUGAUUAAAAUAUCUAUGGCAGGAGGAAAAUACUAAAGUUCUCGGCGUCUCGUGUGCUUCUUCUUCUUUCUCUUCACACAAAGUCGUAGAAGUUUUCAGACGUGUCACAGCUGGAUGUGAGGAUGGGACCCACUUUCCUCUGUGAGCUGGGCCUAUUCUUUCUCUGUACGCUCCUCUGCAGCGGACACGCUCAAGAUGCUGUGCUAACUGUUAAACCCAGCUCGACCUUGUUCAUUGAAGAGACUGUUAGCUUCAAAUGUGACAUGAAGGAAGGAGAACACACUGACUGGGAAUACAAACUCAACAAGGAUGGUCGAGCCUUUAUCCAGUACAGCACAUACAAAAAUUACAGAAAACAAAUGAAGUCUCCCUCUGAUACUGGUAAAUACCAGUGCUCUGGUCAUAUGAAGAAAUCACAUUAUACAAAGAACAGUAAUACUGUCUCCCUAACUGUGCUGGCAGGUAAACCCAGGGCCACACUGACUCCAGGAUCAACUAUAUACCAGUAGGGGGC